rnacentral:rRNA from 1 species
AGUGAACGCUGGCGGUAGGCCUAACACAUGCAAGUCGAACGGCAGCACAGUAAGAGCUUGCUCUUACGGGUGGCGAGUGGCGGACGGGUGAGGAAUACAUCGGAAUCUACUUUUUCGUGGGGGAUAACGUAGGGAAACUUACGCUAAUACCGCAUACGACCUACGGGUGAAAGCAGGGGAUCUUCGGACCUUGCGCGAUUGAAUGAGUCGAUGUCGGAUUAGCUAGUUGGCGGGGUAAAGGCCCACCAAGGCGACGAUCCGUAGCUGGUCUGAGAGGAUGAUCAGCCACACUGGAACUGAGGCACGGUCCAGACUCCUACGGGAGGCAGCAGUGGGGAAUAUUGGACAAUGGGCGCAAGCCUGAUCCAGCCAUACCGCGUGGGUGAAGAAGGCCUUCGGGUUGUAAAGCCCUUUUGUUGGGAAAGAAAAGCAGCAGGUUAAUACCCCGCUGUUCUGACGGUACCCAAAGAAUAAGCACCGGCUAACUUCGUG